rnacentral:ncRNA from 1 species
AGUUUUAAGGCUGCUGCGCCGUCAUUCAUUGGCAGAAUAGUCUGCACUGAGCCCUUGCCGAAAGUCUUAGCCCCCAGGAUUAAUGCCCGGCGGUGAUCCUGAAGCGCGCCCGCGACAAUUUCUGACGCCGACGCAGAACCCCGAUUCACAAGCACGACAAGUGGUGCGCCAUCGAGCACAUCUCGUCCAGUCGCUUCAAAAGUAUAAAUCGCGUCUGCUGCACGACCUCUCGUCGAAACGAUCACACCAUCUUUCAGAAACAAGUCACUGACUUCAACGGCACCGUUGAGUACACCACCCGGAUUAUUCCGA